rnacentral:ncRNA from 2 species
GCCCGUUCUCAGGGCGGGGUGAAAUUCCCCACCGGCGGUGACAGCCCGCGAGCGCCCUUCCCAAGGAAGGGGUCUAGCAGAUCCGGUGGAAUCCCGGGGCCGACGGUGAAAGUCCGGAUGGAAGAGACGUAU